GUCGGGACGAUGCUCUAGGGUAAUUCCCACAUUUGGGGUUCUUAUCUGCCGAGCUGGUCUGGAAUUCCACUGAAGUAGUUCAUAUUUAUUAAACUUGUACACCAUGUCAGGUAGAGAAAGAGAAUCAGAAUAACAGAAGGAAUCAAAGACUGGUUGGUAAAGUAGGGGUAUAGCUUUAAAACACCGAAGUGCAUUAUGGGUAACAUAGGUCCUGUUCCGCUUUCACAGGGCAGUAUUUCAAUGAGAAUAACCAAGAGGUGAUUAAAACCACCUGGAACCUGCGGUCGUCAGAGCCAUCUCUCGGUCAAGACUGGGAGGGCACAAGAGUUGGAACUGAUAUAUUCCGUAGGGUUGCUAAAUAAGGAACAAAAGAAGAGGGACAAAAGAAGAAAUUCAUGAAAUGUGACAGCACUGAAUUAAAUCAUUAAGGAAAUAAACAUAUUUUAACUGAA